rnacentral:rRNA from 1 species
UACGGAGUGUGCAAGCGUUACUCGGAAUCACUGGGCAUAAAGCGCGCGUAGGCGGAACCGCAAGUCGGGUGUGAAAUCCCUCAGCUUAACUGAGGAACUGCAUCCGAUACUGCCUUUCUUGAGGACGAGAGGGGAGAGUGGAACUUCUGGUGGAGCGGUGAAAUGCGUAGAUAUCAGAAGGAACACCGGUGGCGAAGGCGACUCUCUGGCUCGUAUCUGACGCUGAGGCGCGAAAGCUUGGGUAGCAAACGGG